rnacentral:rRNA from 1 species
AGAGUUUGAUCAUGGCUCAGAUUGAACGCUGGCGGCAGGCCUAACACAUGCAAGUCGAGCGGUAACAUUUCUAGCUUGCUAGAAGAUGACGAGCGGCGGACGGGUGAGUAAUGCCUGGGAAUAUGCCUUGAUGUGGGGGAUAACCAUUGGAAACGAUGGCUAAUACCGCAUAAUCUCUUCGGAGCAAAGAGGGGGACCUUCGGGCCUCUCGCGUCAAGAUUAGCCCAGGUGGGAUUAGCUAGUAGGUGAGGUAAUGGCUCACCUAGGCGACGAUCUCUAGCUGGUCUGAGAGGAUGAUCAGCCACACUGGAACUGAGACACGGUCCGGACUCCUACGGGAGGCAGCAGUGGGGAAUAUUGCACAAUGGGCGUAAGCCUGAUGCAGCCAUGCCGCGUGUGUGAAGAAGGCCUUCGGGUUGUAAAGCACUUUCAGUCGUGAGGAAGGCAGUUGCGUUAAUAGCGUAAUUGUUUGACGUUAGCGACAGAAGAAGCACCGGCUAACUCCGUGCCAGCAGCCGCGGUAAUACGGAGGGUGCGAGCGUUAAUCGGAAUUACUGGGCGUAAAGCGCAUGCAGGUGGUUAGUUAAGUCAGAUGUGAAAGCCCGGGGCUCAACCUCGGAAUUGCAUUUGAAACUGGCUAGCUAGAGUACUGUAG